ACAAACUGCUUUAGAAAAGAAACAGAAAGAGGCUCAAGCCUUUGAGAGGCUGCCACUUUUGUAAAAAAUCUCUCUCUGCCCCCAGCUUUGUUUGACACCCAACAAAUUUCUUUAAUCAAAAUCACUCCUUUCUCUUCUACAGAUAAAUUCCUGGAAAGUGUAAAGGGAAGAAAGCCCCUCCAUUGGGAAAUAGGUUGGUGUCAGGCUACUUGCUUGUCUGAUUCUUCACAAUGAUAAAGGCCAGCAGAGAAAGUUCAGUGCAAAAGUUCAUCAGCCACCAGGCCAUCAGGAGCAUCUAUUGAUCAAAUCAAAUGUUCACUUCAAACUGCGUUUCUUAACCUGCAGGUGUAGAAUCACCCAUAACAGAUACAGUCACACCUAUCUCUGCACAUACUUGUACGUUCAGGACAACCUGAUGUAUUACAAUUAACAACAUGGUGUCAGUACUGCAGAAGGAUUCACUUGUAUAAAAUAUCCACCAGAGAAAUCGCCUGGAAGUUACUUUCUAAUCUCCUUGACUC
rnacentral:lncRNA from 1 species